GUGUGCCUUUCCCAAAUCAUGUCCAAUCAUUUACAUUGACCACAGGUGCACUGAAAUGAAGUCAUAAAAACAUCUCAAGGAUGAUUCAUGUGAACUGGGUGCACCUGAGCUCCAUUUCGUUUGUCAUAGGAAAAGGGUCUGACUACUCAUAACAAGAUCAACACAUUCCGCACUCACUUAUUGGCAGGCAUCACUCAGCCAACUAGGAUAGCUGUUGCUGCUUUAGUUCAACGCUAGUGUUCCUUCUAAACUAAUAACUAAGCUCAGAGCACUAGACUGUCUGAUGAGCAGACCGCAGGCUGUGAGAAUUUGCAACAACACCUACUCCUUCCCUACUCCAAAGCCUUCUGCUUUGCUCCCAGUUCCCCACUGUGUAGCUCCGCACGACACCAACUCUAUCAUGAAGUUUGCUGAUGACACCAAGUUUGUAGGCCUUACAAUGAUGAGUAAGUAAUACAGGAAAUUUAAAAAAAACUGCCACUGUGGUGCAACAACCUCUCGCUCAACAGCAGCAACACAAAGGAGAUGGUUGUUUUCUUCGGGAAUCAGAGGCGGGAACACGCUCCGAUUCAUAUCAAUGGAGCUAUUAAAGGGUGUCAGCAUUUUUAAACGCGUCAGCUUUUACAAGUUGUCUAGAUUGCGCAACAGCGGCUCUUCUCAACCAAAGAAUCUCAGCAUGGGUCCCUUACCUAUCGCUUUCACCAUCCCAAGAACUCAGCCUGCCUGCAGGACGGACGGCACCGGAACUUCACACCUGACAGCAAGACCAGGUGUUGCUGAGGUAUAGGCGGGCUGCAUACGAGCGAGGGCAAGGGACGCUGCAACCGCAAUCUGUCGAGGCUACGACACCUGCUGUGCCUCCGCUGAUUACUACAGAACUCCAGCAUUACAGCCAUUUGAGAAUGUCAGGGAAUGGAUGUCGUUGUGUACACAAGACGAGGAACACGCCACACGUGUCCGGAGAGAUAGCGAGGGGGGAUGAAUAAUCGCUAACUCUUUGUAAUAAGGUGACUAUGCCACCUUAGAUAAGGGUGUAAUGCCGAGAAUGGCUGACUUCCACCAGGCGAAUGGAGUUAACUCCCGGCUUGGAGAUGUGAUUUAACAGUUGUGCUGCCACAGUGUGAAAUAAAGGGAAUGAGCUUCAGCCUGGGUGACUUACUGAGCUACCUGUCUCUGAAGACUUCUUGGGCCUGUGGUAAAUGGGUCUUGUCAUGUUACAGAGGACUAAACCAUAUAAUGAUGCCCAGACUUAAAAAGGACAGUCUGGAGUCCCUGGUUAGAAUUCAAAUUUUAACUAUAAAUAAACAACUGUUUAUUAUAUACUUUAUC
ensembl:lncRNA